AGCGUGCUUGGGCGAGAGUAGUACUAGGAUGGGUGACCUCCUGGGAAGUCCUCGUGUUGCACCUC
rnacentral:rRNA from 1 species